GGGCCCGCACAAGCAGUGGAGUAUGUGGUUUAAUUCGAAGCAACGCGAAAAACCUUACCAGGUCUUGACAUCGAGUGACGAGCUAAGAGAUUAGCUUUUCCUUCGGGACACAAAGACAGGUGGUGCAUGGUUGUCGUCAGCUCGUGUCGUGAGAUGUUGGGUUAAGUCCCGCAACGAGCGCAACCCUUACCAUUAGUUGCUACGAAAGAGCACUCUAGUGGGACUGCCGUUGACAAAACGGAGGAAGGUGGGGAUGACGUCAAAUCAUCAUGCCCUUUAUGACCUGGGCUACACACGUACUACAAUGGCAAUUAACAGAGGGAAGCAAUAUAGUGAUAUGGAGCAAAACCCCAAAAAUUGUCUCAGUUCAGACUGUAGGCUGCAACUCGCCUACACGAAGUCGGAAUUGCUAGUAAUCGCAGAUCAGCAUGCUGCGGUGAAUACGUUCCCGGGCCUU
rnacentral:rRNA from 1 species